CCUACGGGAGGCAGCAGUGGGGAAUUUUGGACAAUGGGCGCAAGCCUGAUCCCAGCAAUGCCGCGUGCAGGAUGAAGGCCUUCGGGUUGUAAACUGCUUUUGUACGGAACGAAACGGUCUGCCCUAAUACGGCGGGCUAAUGACGGUACCGUAAGAAUAAGCACCGGCUAGCUACGUGCCAGCAGCCGCGGUAAU
rnacentral:rRNA from 1 species